GAUGAACGCUGGCGGCGUGCUUAACACAUGCCAGUCGAACGAUAAAGCCCAGCUUGCUGGGUGGAUUAGUGGCGAACGGGUGAGUAACACGUGAGUAACCUGCCCUUGACUCUGGGAUAAGCGCUGGAAACGGCGGCUAAUACCGGAUACGAGCGUUCACCCCACGUGGAGGUGCUGGGAAGAAUUGCGGUCAAGGAUGGACUCGCGGCGUAUCAGGUAGUUGGUGGGGGAGCGGCUCACCAAGCCGCCGACGGGUAGCCGGCCUGAGAGGGUGACCGGCCACACUGGGACUGAGACACGGCCCAGACUCCUACGGGAGGCAGCAGUGGGGAAUAUUGCACAAUGGGCGCAAGCCUGAUGCAGCAACGCCGCGUGAGGGACGAAGGCCUUCGGGUCGUAAACCUCUUUUAGCAGUGACGAAGCGAAAGUGACGGUACCUGCAGAAGAAGCACCGGCUAACUACGUG
rnacentral:rRNA from 1 species